rnacentral:rRNA from 1 species
UACGAAGGGGGCUAGCGUUGUUCGGAUUUACUGGGCGUAAAGCGCGUGUAGGCGGGUCGUAAGUUUGGGGGUGAAAUCCCGAGGCUCAACCUCGGAACUGCCUUCAAAACUGGCGACCUGGAGCAAAGAAGAGGCGAGUGGAAUUGCGAGUGUAGAGGUGAAAUCGUAGAUAUCGCAAGAACACCAGUGGCGAAGGCGGCUCACUGGCCCGGAACUGGACGCUGAGGUGCGAAAGCGUGGGGAGCAAACAGG